CCCCCGACCUUGCCCACGCGCAUACACAGCACGCGGCAAAGCAGGCACAGCCGGCGCAGCGGGGAGGUGCACGGGCCAGCCCCGAGUCCAGCUUUCCCUCCAGGGGGCGGGGCACCGAGGGGCGUGGCAAACGGGAGGCCCUGUUUUGCCAUUGGUGGCGGCGGGGCCACGUGGAGGCCCACGUGAGCAGUCGGCCCUCGGGCCCACGGGCCGUGGGCAGGCGCGCGCGGGCGCUCGGCUGGGUUGGGGCGAGGGCGGAAGGUGGUAGAGGGGUGAAGGCGGAGGAGGGAGUGCCUGCGGACAGGCAACACAUGCCUGGCGCGGUGCCGUGCAGCUGGCGGCGGGUGGGGCCGCCGGGCGGGCCGCAGCUCUCUCCGGUCGACGGAGGCUGCUGACGGGAAAACGAUCCAGGUGGGGAGCGCCCCGGCCCUAGGCCCUUUCCCGUGAAAGUCAGCGGGAGCCUAGGGCCAGGUAACCCAGGUAGGGACUCUGGGCCGUGUUACAAACGGACGUUGAGGAUCGCAAAGAUCAGCCUUCUAGCCCUCUCUCUGCCUAUUACGGGCUCUGUGACCAAUGGCAAAUCACUUUACCCGCGCCUCAGUUUCCCCACUCUUCUAGAGGGCUUGCGACCUGCGAGUGGCCAAGAAGAAAAGAAAGCUCACGUCACAAGCACUACCUGCCUAGUUCAACUGAAGAGGCUGUUCUAAGAAAGACGACUGAAGUAAUCAGUCACCUUCCUCAGAGAAAGUCCGCUCAGCAAAGCACAGCCCGGUCCACUCCUCCGGAAGCAGCGGCCUAUCUCCUGACACUCAGGCUGUGGCGGGAGGAGGUUCUCCCCAGCCGGCCCAGUUGUCAGUUAAGCGCGCCCUCCUGGAGAAGAGAAGGGGCCAGAGUAGCUCCAGGGAGCGGGGGAUGCUGAAAUAUGGAUGAAGAAUAUUCCGCCUGACCACCCGGCCAUUCACUCAAACACACGCCUCUGAAAAUAGAACUUAUUUUUCAAGGUAGAAUUCCAAGAUACCGAAGGGAAAUCUAUUUCAUUAACAAAAUAGAUGCUAUUUAUUAAAUUAUAGUUUGGUCUUCUUUACUGACCUUCCUUCUUAAUAUUUCUGGAGUUUUUAACUUUCAAGAAUAACUUAGUCUGCUUAACAGAUUAAGCACUGGCUUUUCUCCUGAGCUAGACUGUCACAGAAAAUUGGGCUGCUGAAUCGUCGCUGGGAAUCCUGUAUUUAAUCUUUUAUGUACAACUUGCCCACUGUGCAAUAUUUAAAUUCCUUCAGGCAAAGAUACAACUAAUUUACCACUUAUCCAGGUUAAAUAUAUCUGAUUGUAUGGCCUAUCAAAUCAUCGUCUAUGGACUAACACAUUCUCAUUUCAGUCAGCAGGAGAGAGAAGUCAAAGAAUGUUAAAUUAUUUAAGAAGAGCAUGUGGUACAUCAAUUAUCGUGAAAAUUUAAAUGUAGUUCAGGGCUAAUAAAACUUUGCUUCUCAUAAAGGCUGCCACUAAAACUCUGCAUGGUAGCCCCAAACAUCCAGUUGCUAUGGAGAGAGGAAGCUCAGGGGUUUUUCUCCUGCCCUGAGCUGCCGGGGCUAAGUGAGGUCACUCUGUAGUCACAUUUCUCUGUAAGUACAGCCCUGUCUGGGGCCUGAGUCAACGAAUCUGAGGCUGCCUCUCCCAUCCAAACGGCACUGUCCGUUCUGCAUGGAGGUACGGGGGUGCUGGGCUCCCCCCACGCAGUGCCAGCGACAGCACCCGCUUCGGCCAUGUGCACAGAACCCGGGGCAAUCAUGACAGCAUCUCAUACACAGACCCGGGGGCCACUCCCCACGUCACCCCAACUCCUGGUCGUGGGUAAUGACUGUGAGUGGAGGACGCAGCUGAACACAUGGGUCCGAGUCCCCGGUAUUGAGGCCUGUUCGAUGGAGAAAGAGUGAGAAUGUCAACUUUGUCCUGCUCCAACAUUUAAGAGCACUUAAAACAUUUAAAUUUAAGAGCAAGGAAGAAGCAGGAAUUUUCCAUGGGAGGAACGUCUUGGCGUCAAGAUGCCCAUUCUGACUUUUCUUAGCAACAGCGUGCCAGCAGCCAAGGCAUCUUACACAGCCGUGAAGUGCAGGACACGAUGCUUGCGUCAGCUCUCUGCUGGCAGGGCUCUGGUGCCCUGCCGACUGCUCUGUGUGUCCGUCUGGCCCUGCUGGCAUCCACUCCCUGCCUCCUCAAGGGCCCACCAGCCCCACCCCGGUCCCCCACAUUUACCUUGGUCCCAUCACCCAGUGGACACGGGAAGUGCUGUUAACCCCCAUUUCCGGACAGCAACCCAGGUCAGGGAAGCCCCAUGACUUCCUGGGGCUACGUGGCUCGGAAGAAGCAGAGCCGAGACUCACAUCCUGGAUUCUCUGCCUUCGAAUCCAAUGCUUAGGGAGCAAGGACUUCAUGGUAGGCAUGAGCCUGGCCUUGGCUUUGCCGGGAAUAGUGCAUCUCUAAUGGAAGGAGAGAGGGCAUGACCAGAAGGAGAGAGAAGAGAAUAUACAAUCUUCUAUCAUGUUUCGAUGAAAAUUAAGUGUGGCUGAACAUCUGGCUGCCAAGUUCUCUGCUGCCAUCUCUGGCAAGAAGCGCACCGUCUCCAUGUUUUUUUUUGAGAUGAAAAUCUAUUUACCAUCCCUGACACCACGGUCUGCAGGGAGUUGUUUCCCGGGCAGCUGUGAAGCUCCUCCUCUACCUCCAAGUGACCAGCCGGGGCCUCUUCUGUUUGCUUCUUCUGGGUUGUCUAUGGGCAGCUGUUACUUCACGGUUCUUAAUGAGUCUCCAGGAUCUUAAUUCAUGAGCUCAGGGAGAGCUUAAAACCCCCAGCCUCUGGCCACUAGGCAAGAGGUGGUUUUCCUGAGAAACCCAAGUCCCAAAAAAGCCUGUCGUGAUUUCUUUUGGGACGUGAAGUAAGCAAAAGGGUAGCUGACUUUUCCUUCCCUCUCUGACGCUGUUAGCUGCCCCCCUCUCCUUGAUCCUGGAGUAAUAGAGUCGGCUUCUCAAAGACAUCACCAGCCUUCUCCUCCCAGAAGCGGUGAGCAGGAGGCCUGCCUCCUCAGGAGGAAUGUUGAGAGGAACUCGUCUCUGGGCCGUGGCUGCCUCCACAGGGUAUGACCGAAUGGGUCUGCCACGGACAUGUGGCCUGCUCCCCCGCAGCUCUGAGCUCCCCUGGGCUUCCAGCUGAACAGCCCCCGUCUACCCUCCUGUGGCGAGUGCUCUCCAGGGAGUGGCCGGCAGGGACUCAUGUGACCACUGAAAAUGGUGUUGGCCAAAGGCACAGCCUUUCAGCCGGUGCAUCUAACCCUUCCCUGAGCCCUCACUAAGGGCAUGAAAUAUCUGGUUCCUCAGCAACUUUGACACUCAGAGUUAAGAAUUUUUUGAUGCUACAUAUUUUUAGGCCUUUUGACAAGAAGUUCUGGUACAAUUUAAGAAUGAUGUGGAUGAGGAAAGCACACUGAAUGCUGGGUUUUUCAAAGCGUCGCCAAGCAAUGGGCUCUAAGCAGGCUCGGUGGGAGGCUGGGGGGUGACUUCUGGCCCUUAAUCCUCACCAGGUGACUGCUCACAAGGCUCCUUUAAGUCUUCACGAUUGACGAUUGAGACAGAAACCUUAAAGUGCGCCAGAGUUUUCUGUGACGGUUAAGUAAGGUGAUUAACAGAAAGCUUUAAAACUGGCCCCUGAAGAUUUAAAGACAGGGCACAAAUACUUUCGAGAGAAGCAAACAAAGUGAAGGAGAAAAAGAAUGUGUGACAAGGGUAAAAACUAGAGGUCCUCUCCUCUACCCAUUACAGGACUUAAUGCGAAUUAAGGUAUUUGUGUGUGCAUGCAGACGGGUCGCUGUCCCAUGAAUGCUGACCAAGUAUCUUCAUUUGGCAAUAUCAACAAUCGGAGGAAAAGAUGGGCUAGGAGAACUUUUCAGUUAAUGUGUCCUGACCCUGGAGACCUAGCCGAAAAUCUGCCCUGGCAACCAACAGAAUUCCUAAUUAACAACAGAUCUGCUCCCACCUGGCGCGGUGCCACCAGCCGCCUCCCUGUCUGCUCCCUCCCUGCGGCUGUGGUGCAGUCCCUGUCACUAACCCUGAUCCUGGCUUUCAUCUGUUAGGGAGCACACCCAGCAGCCACAUUUGGGAACUCCUGCCUUUUUUCCCUCUCGGCUGAUUUUUUUUCUCUUCUCCUUCCGCUAAUCUAUGACUCUCUCUCUUUCAACACCCCUUUAAAAGUCAUCUCUGGGAGCGCCUGGGUGGCUCAGUCGUUAAGCGUCUGCUUUCGGCUCGGGUCAUGGUCUCAGGGUCCUGGGAUCGGCCCGCGUCAGGCUCCCUGCUCAGCAGGAAGCCUGCUUCUCCCUCUCCCACUCCCCCUGCUUGUGUUCCCUCUCUCGCUGUGUCUCUCUCUGUCAAAUAAAUAAAUACAAUCUUUAAGAAAAAAAAUAAUAAAAGUCAUCUCUGCUGUAAAACCUCAUCCAUUUCUCUCUACCCUCUAAGUUCUUUCUGAAUGGUUCCCCACUAAGGGUAAUUUUAUCAAACACAGUACUAGAUGUGAAAGAGCUUUACAAGCCAUAGAGUGCUAAAUACUUAGAGAUUAUUAAGAAUCCCUCUCCUCGGCACUCACAUCACCAGUUCAGAGGAUCAUUUCUUCAAUCAGCAUUGUUUUGUCUCCUCUGUUGGAUGCUUCCUACUCCAAGCAUGACCCACCAGCCUGCAGCUUCAGCGUCCCCCCACCUGCCGGAAGUGCACCCUCUCAAGUCCUGACGGUGCCCCCUGAAUCCGAAUCCAAACCCUCACCACAUCUCCAGGUGAGUUCUAUGUAUGUUAAAAUUUGAGGAGCAUGGAAUUCGACGUUAAGGACCUCAAAGGUACACAUGGCACAGAAUCGCCCGAAAGCCCUCCGGAACCUGCAGAGGCCUCCAAGCUGGUGUUCUAUGGGGGUGGGGGUGGGGUGCUCAAGAAUAUUGCCAUGUGACUGCUGGCCUGCCAGCAAUAAAACUAAAAGCCUGCCUGAGUCUGCCGCAUAUGAAUGAUGCUAUUUACAGGAACAGACAUCACCUGAGAUUUCCUUAUAGUAAAAGCUUUAAAAUCACAUCUGCAUAAAAAACACAGACGGGUCCGUUUAGGAUAACUCAUUAUCAGGCUGAGUGCUUAAGUCCUUGGCAACUGGAAGGAGAGUCAGUGAACUGUAGCCCCCUCUCCCCAGAGCGAGCUCGUGUAAAUCACAGAGGCUCCCUAGACUUCACAGUUCAGGCCCCGUCGCUUUACCAAUGCCCCUGAACAUUUUAAUGAAGUUCAGAAACCACAGGUAUGAAAGGACAGCUGCCCUGGGAGCCCCACAGCACACGUUUGGUACCUCUGCAAAGUCCUGACCGAGAGGAGUGCUCUGGAAACCCGGGGCAGCUUCCCCUCUUCCCAGGACACGGCGGUCACGCUCCCCAACAGCAAGAAGAUUAAUUCGGGACUCCAAUUCCUCCAUUAUAUGAUCCCUUCCUAAUGAUUAGCAAUGCAUCUCCCAGAAAGGCUAGACUGAGGCCAAACAAAUGAGCAAAUAAACCAGGCUGAAUGAAUUCCAUCAACUGAUCAUUAUUUAAAGUUAUCUCUUAGGGACCAGGUCUUAUUUAAGGAGAA